rnacentral:rRNA from 1 species
UACGUAGGGUGCAAGCGUUGUCCGGAAUUAUUGGGCGUAAAGAGCUCGUAGGCGGUCUGUCGCGUCUGCUGUGAAAAGCUAGGGCUUAACCCUGGCCUUGCAGUGGAUACGGGCAGACUAGAGGUAGGUAGGGGAGAAUGGAAUUCCCGGUGUAGCGGUGAAAUGCGCAGAUAUCGGGAGGAACACCGGUGGCGAAGGCGGUUCUCUGGGCCUUACCUGACGCUGAGGAGCGAAAGCGUGGGGAGCGAACAGG